AUAUUGCGAAGGGGGUGGGGUGGGUAGGAGACAGAGGGGAAUGAUAUGUGAAGGGGGGGUGGUGGUAGGAGAACAGAGGGGAAUGAGAUGUGAAGGGUGGUGGUGAGGUAGGAGAAAGAGGGGAAUGAGAUGUGAAGGAGUGUGGUGAGGUAGGGGAAUGAGAUGUGAAGGGGGUGGUGAGGUAGGAGAACAGAGGGGAAUGAGAUGUGAAGGGGGUGGUGAGGUAGGAGAACAGAGGGGAAUGAGAUGUGAAGAGGGUGGUGGGGUAGGAGGACUCACGGUUGCGUUUUCCCCCGUCCUCGUCCCCCUCCUCGUCAUUCUCAGGGUCGAUGUCCUCGGCCUGAGUGAUCCAGUCCAGGUAGCCCUUCAGAUCCUCCUCCAGCUGCUGCUUCUCUCUCAGCUUCUGGAAGUCUCCACGAGCCUUGGCCUUCUCUCUCUCCUUAGAAAACUCUCUGUGGACGGACACACACAAACAAAGAAAAAAGCUCAGAAACCUGUUCCUUCUAUGUGUGUAUUUCUGUGUGUGCACCCUCGUGCGUGUGUAUGUGUGCAUUUGUGCGUGUGUAUGUGCAUAUGUUCAGUAUAUAGGACAAUGAUGAUUCUAAUGUCUUACCCGCUUAAAACUCCCAGAACCAGGUUGAGAACGAAGAAGGAGCCGAAGAUGACUAGACUGACGAAGUAAACCCAGGGCAGCUCAAAGCCCAUGGCAUCAUUCAUCUGAAACAACAAAAACAGUCACAGUUAGCUUUAGAAGACAAU
ensembl:lncRNA